rnacentral:lncRNA from 1 species
CAUAGAAUGACUUGCAUGUUUUGAGUAAGACUGGAAAUGGACUCCAGUACACACUUUGAAAUGAAUUGCUUAAUGUUUUUCAAGCUAUGGGUGAGCCUAUUGGUUUUGCUUAAUUCUAUGUGUUUGUAUGUAUUUCCUGCUUAGACUUGUAUGUCCUCACUUUCUGUGUUUCCCAAUCCCAUGUUAUGAAUAGCAUUGAGCAUACCUGCACAUAACAUGAAGUCAAGUUGGACCCGCCUGUCCAUGUAUACAGCCAUUCAUGGCUUACCCCACACUCUUCCACUUG